UUGUGUAAUGCAAUCCCUUGCUGUCUGGUUUUUAGAUUUCUUUCGUUUGAACAACCAAACGCAGCACAGAAGUCCGGCAUCGUCCAUGCAUUUAAAGUACAAGAGCACCGUAUAAAGAUGGCGGCGGUUUUGACGUAUUUUUAGGACCCCAAGGCGACAUCUAGUGUAUAGAUAUCUAUGCUCCAACAUGAGAACGAGGCGGAAAUGGGAGCAGCUCUGCGGGUUCGUGUGUUUAUUUUAACUCGCUUUGCUGUUCGAUAAAUCCGGGCUGCGUCCCAAAUCACUUCCUGUUUAAAAACAAGUGCACUAGGUAGGGUGCAAGGGGAGACAUUAUGGCCUAGACCUUUACUCGUGUGUCUGUUGAGACGGAUUACAAAGUAUUAACUUUGUCUGUGUCCUACUUGUACUUUCUGUGCACUUGUACAUCCAUCCAUACUGUUGUUUUAGUCUGAGCUGUAACUUAUUGCUCAUUUAUACAGAGUAGGGAGUGAUUUGGAACACAGCCAUCACUCUUAUACUCAGCUAGAAGGUCUAAUUUAUAAAUGCACUACAAAGUGCUCACUAGUGCUCUCACAGAUGAAGUAGGACAUCAUUUUGGAUCGAACCCAAGACUAUUUUGGCUUGUUGCCUGGCAACGUCUGUCUGGAUGGUCAUGCUGUUAACAUGACAGUUUAACCAGUUGCCCACCAGACUGCUCAAAUGAAAACUCGAGGAUCUGCAGCUGUCACUUUGUUGGUGGAAUGAAAUCUGCAGCUCCCAGUGUGUUCCAGUGGAAUGAGAAGAAACUGACCUGCUUCACAGCUUCACAUUCUGACCUGAAGAUAGAGCUGGAGAACUUACACACUUUGUGAGGAACCUGAGGAGAAGAAUGUGAUGAAUGUAGCUACAGGAAUAACUGUGGCUCUCAGGCCUGCAGGAGGAGACGAGAAGACCAUGUGCUGUAAACAGGAAGAAAUGGAAUUGGAGAUCAGUCGGUUUCAAACACGUCCGACUCCAACAGGAACUCUGAGGAAAUCUGAUCAGAAUGUGUCUGAGAGUGUUUUACAACCCUGACCAGUUUAAAUCAUCUCCACGUCAUGCUGAUAACUGUGUACCUUCUAGGAUUUCAUUCUAAGCUGAUUUGGGAAUUCAAUUCAAGACACUGACAGAAAGGUCAAGCAGGUUGUGAUCAAGCCUGACACCAUUAAUGCAGGCCCAACACACCGAUGAAGUGGCCUGCCCAGGAGCUGUUCACUCCGGCGCCAGGACACCGCAGGCCCUGG